CCUUUGUACACACCGCCCGUCGCUACUACCGAUUGAAUGGCUUAGUGAGAUCUUCGGAUUGGCUUUGUGGAGUCGGCAACGACACUACGUUGCUGAGAAGUUGAUCAAACUUGGUCAUUUAGAGG
rnacentral:rRNA from 1 species